rfam:Pseudomonas sp. M30-35, complete genome.
UCGUGAGUCGUUGUCGACUUGAUGUUACAGCGACAGGCUUCGCCUCGUUCACAACGGAUGGAGCGGAGUUUCACCAGAAAAAGGAA